AGUGAACGCUGGCGGCGUGCCUAACACAUGCAAGUCGAACGGCAGCACAGUAAGCGUUUGCUCCUACGGUUGGCGAGGGGCGGACGGGUGAGGAGUACAUCGCAAUCUACUUUUUCGUGGGGAAUUACGUAGGGAAACUUACGCUAAUACCGCAUACGUCCUACGGGUGGGUGCAGGGGAUCUUCGGACCUUGCGCGUUUGUAUGAGCCGAUGCCGUAUUAGCUAGUUGGCGGGGUAAAGGCCCACCAAGGCGACGAUGCGUAGCUGGUCUGAGAGGAUGAUCAGCCACACUGGAACUGAGACACGGUCCAGACUCCUACGGGAGGCAGCAGUGGGGAAUAUUGGACAAUGGGCGCAAGCCUGAUCCAGCCAUGCCGCGUGGGUGAAGAAGGCCUUCGGGUUGUAAAACCCUUUUGUUGGGGAAGAAAAACUGCGGGUUUAACCACGGCUGUUCUGACGGUACCCAAUGAAUAAGCACCGGCUAACUUCGUG
rnacentral:rRNA from 1 species